UUUUAGGAUAGAGGUGCGGUAUUUAAGAGUAUCUUUGCAGAGGUAAGCACAAUGAAGCAAUGAGAAAGGAAAUGUCCGCCGAAGUGUACAGUUGAUGCUUUAAGGCUGUAUGGCUGGUUUUGCGUAGAAUAUAUGCAAGGCUGUCACAAAUUUAAUUUUGUGGAGAGCUAUCAUUCAA
rnacentral:ncRNA from 2 species